AAUUUUGGACAAUGGGCGCAAGCCUGAUACAGCCAUGCCGCGUGAGUGCAGAAGGCCUUCGGGUUGUAAAGCUCUUUCGGACGGAAAGAAAUCGCGCAGGCUAAUACCCUGCGCGGAUGACGGUACCGUCUUAAGAAGCAACGGCUCACUACGAGCCCGCAGCCUCGGCAAUACGAAGGGUGCGAGGGUUAAUCGGAAUUACUGGGCGUAAAGCGUGCGCAGGCGGUUGAUUAAGACAGGCAUGAAAUCCCCGGGCUUAACCUGGGAACUGCGCUUGUGACUGGGCAGCUAGAGUACGGCAGAGGGGGGUGGAAUUCCACGUGUAGCAGUGAAAUGCGUAGAGAUGUGGAGGAACACCGAUGGCGAAGGCAGCCCCCUGGGCCGAUACUGACGCUCAUGCACGAAAGCGUGGGUAGCAAACAGG
rnacentral:rRNA from 1 species